rnacentral:lncRNA from 10 species
CGCCAUGAGCAACAAAUGCGACGUGGUCGUGGUGGGGGGCGGCAUCUCAGGGCCCCAGCCGAUUGGAUUGGAUGGUGCCCACUACAUUGAGAGCCGGUUUUCCUCUCCCAGUCUGCCAACUCCCAUGCCAGUUUCUUCUGGAAACACCCUCACAGGGACACCCAGAAACAAUGCUUCACCUGCCAUCUAGAAACAUCAGACUCUGGGCCUCUAUUGACAAACCGUAUCCACUUGUAAGUUGAAUGUAACAAUAGGCGGUGCACGUGAGCCAGCAUGGACUUUUCUCAUUGGCUGUUAGCAUGAGGAGCUUGUCUGGCAUCCUUGU